rnacentral:misc_RNA from 1 species
UUAAGCCCACCUUUCAAUGGAGUGUCCA